rnacentral:rRNA from 1 species
GUGGGGAAUUUUGGACAAUGGGCGCAAGCCUGAUCCAGCAAUGCCGCGUGUGUGAAGAAGGCCUUCGGGUUGUAAAGCACUUUUGUCCGGAAAGAAAUCUCCUGGGUUAAUACCUCGGGGGGAUGACGGUACCGGAAGAAUAAGCACCGGCUAACUACGUGCCAGCAGCCGCGGUAAUACGUAGGGUGCGAGCGUUAAUCGGAAUUACUGGGCGUAAAGCGUGCGCAGGCGGCUAUGCAAGACAGAUGUGAAAUCCCCGGGCUCAACCUGGGAACUGCAUUUAUGACUGCAUGGCUAGAGUGCGUCAGAGGGAGGUGGAAUUCCGCGUGUAGCAGUGAAAUGCGUAGAGAUGCGGAGGAACACCGAUGGCGAAGGCAGCCUCCUGGGAUGACACUGACGCUCAUGCACGAAAGCGUGGGGAGCAAACAGGAUUAGAAACCCUGGUAGUCC